rnacentral:rRNA from 1 species
GAACUAUAGAGUUUGAUCCUGGCUCAGAUUGAACGCUGGCGGCAUGCCUUACACAUGCAAGUCGAACGGUAACGCGGGGCAACCUGGCGACGAGUGGCGAACGGGUGAGUAAUGCAUCGGAACGUGCCCAGUAGUGGGGGAUAGCCCG